rnacentral:rRNA from 1 species
UAAAGUGCACUACGUGUAGUGUAUGCAAGUACUUACGAAUAAGCAUCGGCUAAUUCCGUGCCAGCAGCCGCGGUAAUACGGAAGAUGCAAGUGUUAUCCGGAUUUAUUGGGUUUAAAGGGUGCGUAGGUGGUCUAAUAAGUCAGUGGUGAAAUCUCUUUGCUUAACAAGGAAAUUGCCAUUGAAACUGUUAGACUUGAGAAUGGACGAGGUAGGCGGAAUUCGUAGUGUAGCGGUGAAAUGCAUAGAUAUUACGAAGAACUCCAAUAGUGUAGACUGCUUACCAGACCAUAUCUGACACUAAGGCACGAAAGUGUGGGUAUCAAACAGGAUUAGAUACCCUGGUAGUCCACACAGUAAACGAUGAAUACUAACUGUUUGCGAUAUACAGCAAGUGGUCGAGCGAAAGCGUUAAGUAUUCCACCUGGGAAGUAUGCCGGCAACGGUGAAACUCAAAGGAAUUGACGGGGGCCCGCACAAGCGGAGGAACAUGUGGUUUAAUUCGAUAAUACGCGAGGAACCUUACCCGGGCUCGAACGAUAUUUGAAUACAUCCGAAAAGAUGUAGCUAGCAAUAGCAAAUACCGAGGUGCUGCAUGGUUGUCGUCAGCUCGUGCCGUGAGGUGUCGACUUAAGUGUCAUAACGAGCGCAACCCUUACCGAUAGUUACCAUCAGAUAAUGCUGGGGACUCUAUUGGGACUGCCACCGUAAGGUGUGAGGAAGGAGAGGAUGACGUCAAAUCAGCACGGCCCUUAUGUCCGGGGCGACACACGUGUUACAAUGGGAGAAACAAAGGGUCGCUACCUGGCAACAGGAUGCUAAUCUCGAAAAUCUCUCUCAGUUCGGAUUGGAGUCUGCAACUCGACUCCAUGAAGCUGGAUUCGCUAGUAAUCGCACAUCAGCCAUGGUGCGGUGAAUACGUUCCCGGGCCUUGUACACACCGCCCGUCAAGCCAUGGAAGCUGGAAGUACCUGAAGUAUGUAACUGAAAAGAGCGUCCUAAGUAAGU